rnacentral:lncRNA from 1 species
AUGGCAAGCCACCUGCUUCGGUUGGUGGCGGAAUUGACUCAAUCCCGUGUAGGCCUUUCACCGAGGACGCUCCGGAUCCUGAGCGAGAGGAACUACAGCACUGCACCCCCUCUGCCGCAGCCAGAUCACUUCGGGCACGGAGGAAGAGCAUGGGCAGCUGGCCCAGGACCCACCAUAUCACCUGAGCCAAGCAGGAGAGGCCCCUGCUCACCCUUGCAAAUGCGCUUGCCUUUGUCAGAUUGUGAGUUUGGAAGGAGAAGAAGCUGGGCAGAAAUCACCGAAACCCUCUUGGGUCCGCUCUCCCGUGUUGUAAAUCUCACGGAACAGGCCAUCUGGUCCAGGUCUGCCACAGUGGGUAGGUUACGGCAGCAUCGCCAGAGCUGUUUAAAAUGUAACAAACCAACAAACUCUCAGGGAGCUGAAGGAUGCCUACCCCUGCCAUGGUCCCUGCCAUGCAGCCAGGAAAGUUGUUAA